rnacentral:rRNA from 1 species
GCCAUUUAAAGUGGUACGCGAGCUGGGUUCAGAACGUCGUGAGACAGUUCGGUCCCUAUCUGCCGUGGGCGUUGGAUGAUUGAAGGGAGUUGCUCCUAGUACGAGAGGACCGGAGUGAACGAACCUCUGGUGUUCGGGUUGUCACGCCAGUGGCACUGCCCGGUAGCUAAGUUCGGAAUCGAUAACCGCUGAAAGCAUCUAAGCGGGAAGCGAGCCCUGAGAUGAGUCAUCCCUGACCCCUUGAGGGUCCUAAAGGGCCGUUGGAGACCACAACGUUGAUAGGUGGGGUGUGUAAGCGCAGUGAUGUGUUGAGCUAACCCAUACUAAUUACCCGUGAGGCUUAACCAUACAACACCCAAGAAGUGUUCU